GAUGAACGCUGGCGGCGUGCCUAAUACAUGCAAGUCGAGCGAACAGACGCGGAGCUUGCUCCUCUGACGUUAGCGGCGGACGGGUGAGUAACACGUGGAUAACCUACCUAUAAGACUGGGAUAACUUCGGGAAACCGGAGCUAAUACCGGAUAAUAUAUUUAACCGCAUGGUUCAAUAGUGAAAGACGGUUUUGCUGUCACUUAUAGAUGGAUCCGCGCCGCAUUAGCUAGUUGGUAAGGUAACGGCUUACCAAGGCGACGAUGCGUAGCCGACCUGAGAGGGUGAUCGGCCACACUGGAACUGAGACACGGUCCAGACUCCUACGGGAGGCAGCAGUAGGGAAUCUUCCGCAAUGGGCGAAAGCCUGACGGAGCAACGCCGCGUGAGUGAUGAAGGUCUUCGGAUCGUAAAACUCUGUUAUUAGGGAAGAACAAAUGUGUAAGUAACUAUGCACGUCUUGACGGUACCUAAUCAGAAAGCCACGGCUAACUACGUG
rnacentral:rRNA from 1 species